rnacentral:rRNA from 1 species
GAGUUUGAUUCUGGCUCAGAACGAACGCUGGCGGCAGGCCUAAGACAUGCAAGUCGUACGAGAAAGCCCUUUCGGGGGUGAGUAGAGUGGCGAACGGGUUAGUAACGCGUGGGAACAUACACAGCACAGGGGGAUAACCAUUGGAAACGAUGGCUAAUACCGCAUACGCCCUAUGGGGGAAAGAUUUAUCGGUGUUGGAUUGGCCCGCGUUAGAUUAGCUAGUUGGUGGGGUAAUUGCCUACCAAGGCGACGAUUUAUAGCUGGUUUGAGAGGAUGAUCAGCAACACUGGAACUGAGACACGGUCCAGACUCCUACGGGAGGCAGCAGUCGGGAAUAUUGUGCAAUGGGGGCAACCCUGACACAGCCAUGCCGCGUGAGUGAAGAAGGCCUUAGGGUUGUAAAGCUCUUUCAGAUGUGAGGAUGAUGACGAUAGCAUCACAAGAAGCUCCGGCUAACUUCGUGCCAGCAGCCGCGGUAAUACGAAGGGAGCAAGCGUUGUUCGGAAUUACUGGGCGUAAAGGGCGUGUAGGCGGAUUAUCAAGUUAGGGGUGAAAUCCCGGGGCUCAACCUCGGCACUGCCUUUAAGACUGAUAAUCUAGAGUAUGUGAGGGGAUAAUGGAAUACCUAGUGUAGAGGUGAAAUUCGUAGAUAUUAGGUGGAACACCAGUGGCGAAGGCGAUUAUCUGGCACAUUACUGACGCUGAGGCGCGAAAGCGUGGGGAGCAAACGGGAUUAGAUACCCCGGUAGUCCACGCCGUAAACGAUGUAUACUAGUUGUCGGGCAUUGGUUCGGUGACGCAGCUAACGCAUUAAGUAUACCGCCUGGGGAGUACGGUCGCAAGAUUAAAACUCAAAGAAAUUGACGGGGACCCGCACAA